ACUCCUACGGGAGGCAGCAGUGGGGAAUAUUGCACAAUGGGCGCAAGCCUGAUGCAGCCAUGCCGCGUGUAUGAAGAAGGCCUUCGGGUUGUAAAGUACUUUCAGCAGUGAGGAAGGUGGAUAUGUUAAUAGCAUAUUCAUUUGACGUUAGCUGCAGAAGAAGCACCGGCUAACUCCGUGCCAGCAGCCGCGGUAAUACGGAGGGUGCGAGCGUUAAUCGGAAUUACUGGGCGUAAAGCGCAUGCAGGUGGUUUGUUAAGUCAGAUGUGAAAGCCCGGGGCUCAACCUCGGAAUUGCAUUUGAAACUGGCAAACUAGAGUACUGUAGAGGGGGGUAGAAUUUCAGGUGUAGCGGUGAAAUGCGUAGAGAUCUGAAGGAUACCGGUGGCGAAGGCGGCCCCCUGGACAGAUACUGACACUCAGAUGCGAAAGCGUGGGGAGCAAACAGGAUUAGAUACCAUGGUAGGCUCUGC
rnacentral:rRNA from 1 species